AGAACGAACGCUGGCGGCAUGCCUAACACAUGCAAGUCGAACGAGACCUUCGGGUCUAGUGGCGCACGGGUGCGUAACGCGUGGGAAUCUGCCCAAAGGUUCGGAAUAACUCAGGGAAACUUGAGCUAAUACCGGAUGAUGUCGCAAGACCAAAGAUUUAUCGCCUUUGGAUGAGCCCGCGUAGGAUUAGCUUGUUGGUGAGGUAAAGGCUCACCAAGGCUACGAUCCUUAGCUGGUCUGAGAGGAUGAUCAGCCACACUGGGACUGAGACACGGCCCAGACUCCUACGGGAGGCAGCAGUGGGGAAUAUUGGACAAUGGGCGAAAGCCUGAUCCAGCAAUGCCGCGUGAGUGAUGAAGGCCCUAGGGUUGUAAAGCUCUUUUACCCGGGAAGAUAAUGACUGUACCGGGAGAAUAAGCCCGGCUAACUCCGCGCCAGCAGCCGC
rnacentral:rRNA from 1 species